rnacentral:piRNA from 1 species
UGGGACUUGCACAGUGCUCACUGGC